GACGAACGCUGGCGGCGUGCCUAAUACAUGCAAGUAGAACGCUGCAGGAGGAGCUUGCUUCUCUGGAUUAGUUGCGAACUGGUGAGUAACGCGUAGGUAACCUGCCUGGUAGCGGGGGAUCACCAUAGGACACGAUAGCUAAUAACGCAUAAGAGUAGACGUCGCAUGAUAUUUGCUCAUAAGGUUCACUUGCUUCACAACUAGAUGCACCAGCGUUGUAUUAGCUAGUUGGUGAGUUAACGGCUCACCAAGGCAACGAUACAUAGCCGACCUGAGAGGGUGAUCGGCCACACUGGGACUGAGACACGGCCCAGACUCCUACGGGAGGAAGCAGUAGGGAAUCUUCGGCGAGAGGCAGAAGUCUGAACGAGCGACGCCGCGUGAGUGAAGAAAGUCUUCGGAUCGUAAAGAGCUGUUGUAAGAGUAGAACGGUUGUGAGCGUGUAAAGGUCACGCUGAGGCGAGUUCUUACCGGAAAAGCACGGGUUAACACGUU
rnacentral:rRNA from 1 species